rnacentral:rRNA from 1 species
GCUAACUCUGUGCCAGCAGCCGCGGUAAUACAGAGGGUGCAAGCGUUAAUCUGAAUUACUGGGCGUAAAGGGAGCGUAGGUGGCUCGAUAAGUCAGAUGUGAAAUCCCCGGGCUUAACCUGGGAACUGCAUCUGAUACUGUUGAGCUAGAGUAGGUGAGAGGGAGGUAGAAUUUCAGGUGUAGCGGUGAAAUGCGUAGAGAUCUGAAGGAAUACCGAUGGCGAAGGCAGCCUCCUGGCAUCAUACUGACACUGAGGCUCGAAAGCGUGGGUAGCAAACAGGAUUAGAUACCCUGGUAGUCCACGCCGUAAACGAUGUCUACUAGUCGUUGGGUCCCUUGAGGACUUAGUGACGCAGCUAACGCAAUAAGUAGACCGCCUGGGGAGUACGGCCGCAAGGUUAAAACUCAAAUGAAUUGACGGGGGCCCGCACAAGCGGUGGACCAUGUGGUUUAAUUCGAUGCAACGCGAAGAACCUUACCUGGUCUUGACAU